GCCUUGGCGGUGAAAUGGUAGACACGCAAGACUCAAAAUCUCGUGCUAAAGAGGGUGGAGGUUCGAGUCCUCUUCAAUGCA
rnacentral:tRNA from 1 species